rnacentral:lncRNA from 1 species
UGACACUCAUGAAGUUAUUGACUCUUAUGCGCUUAUCGUCACCAAAGAAUCAGUUUUCAGGAAACGUCAUUUCACGUUUUAUCCCCCGAUCCGUUUUUUUUUCCUUUAUCCGCGUUUCAUGCCCUCUUUCACCGCGUUUUAUCCUGACUCCGCGGUGUAACGCUUCAAUUCAAAUGGUAAUAAUUAAAUUCCUCUCAGAAACACAGCUCGAUAUUUCUAUGUAUUGAAAACCAAACUGCGUAGCUUUUAUUGAAGUGUGUACAGAACUGACUUGUAAAAAUGUGUCAAAUUCUCAACCGGCUGAAAUCUCUAUAUAGAUCUGUUAAGUAUUUUUCACUCAGUUAGCACCAACUGUAUUCUAAGCGGAAUUGAGAUAUGUAUCUAUGAAUGUCAACAUUUCUCAAAAUGAG